CCCUUAGAUGUUCUGGGCCGCACGCGCGCUACACUGACGAAUGCAACGAGCUUAUAACCUUGGCCGAAAGGUCUGGGUAAUCUCCAAAUUUCGUCGUGAUGGGGAUAGAUUAUUGCAAUUAUUAAUCUUCAACGAGGAAUGCCUAGUAAGCGCAAGUCAUCAGCUUGCGUUGAUUACGUCCCUGCCCUUUGUACACACUGCCCGUCGCUCCUACCGAUUGAAUGGUCCGGUGAAGCGUUCGGACCGUGGCCUUUGGACGGUUCGCCGUCUGUUGGCUGCGGGAAGUUCGUUAAACCUUAUCAUUUAGAGGAAGGAGAAGUCGUAACA
rnacentral:rRNA from 1 species